GAAGGAUGUAACUUUUUUAAAUGCAUAAAAAAAAAAAAUCGGGUCUGGUGACAUGCAUAUGUCUUACUGUUAAUGCCCACUACAACGGAAUAAAUGUAAUUAAAAAUACGUUUUGCAGUCUUGAAUCACUUAUGACGAUCUAAACAGCGUUAGGUAUAGAGCGCCCUCUUUUGGCCUGACUAAGUAGAACAUUGAAAUAGAAUUUAGAAAACGAUCGUUUCUGAGAAAUGAUUGUUUAUUCUAUAUUUGGCGUUGUGGUGUCUGCAUUCACAACUCCAUCUUAAUUAGUUUACUUAUUUAUUUGAUGUGUGUAUUCUUGUCUAAUAGAUCUCGUUUACUGGCUUUCUAGAAGGAAUUUAAAACUAAAGUAAAGAUGCAUCUCCAGUGCAUUUGCAUAAUGGCUGCAGACAUUCCUUGAUGAGCAGGUGUUAAAUGUAAUCAAAUGUACUUUAAAUCCUGUGGACCUAUCUACAUAAGUGAUAAUGAAAGGGGGGAAAGUGACCAUCCCUGAAGUUUGUAUAGAUUGUUAGCUCAUAAUCACUAGUUGUAGAGCUAAUGAUGAGCUGUCUUAUAGUGAAAGCUCAUCAGAGUUCCUGACUCUCCAGGAACCAGGUGUACUGCUCCUAAACUUCACUGUCAGUCACAUGAGAUGGAUCAUCUCUAAUACAAGGAAGGCCUUCCUAAAUCAGUGAGUGAGACCCCAUAAAUAUACAGGCCAAUAACCUAUCCAACGCUAUGUCAAACUGUGUGGCUAUUUUAAUAUGGAUUAAUAAUUGCUUAAUGUUCCAAAUCAUGUUAACACAUUGCUAGAUUAAAUACGGACACACAUUUCAAAGGUGAUUGUAAUAUCCGUUCUGUAAUUAUCAUGUAGAUUACAGGAUGUGAUAGAAGGGAGAAAACUCUACUUCAUUGAGCUGGUGAGAUAACUAAUAUCUAUUGCCAUUCACUAUAUCCUUUUUUCUGUUGACGAUAGCCUAAAAAAAAUGACAUUGUUUAGUGUGUAAGUAAAUGCUUUGUACACAGACAUUGGAGACCGCAGGUCGCUGCCAACUCAUUGACUUUUUCCAGGAUGUCCUGGGAGAGCUCAAUGUGGAGUAAUGCCUGUCUCUCCAGACCAAUGAAAAGGUCAUGGUGGAGGGGCUGUCUCUCCUGACUGGCAGCACCGAACCGUCACCUUGGUUGAGCGGCAACGCAGAGAAACAGCCCACUACUGUCAUGUCAUUGCACUCGCUCCAGGUGAAGUUCUCCAGCCUCACCCAGGCAGAGACGCCACAGGUCAGGGAGGUCAUGGAGAGCUUCCCUGUGUUGUCAGAAAGCGAAAGGACAACGGCCUCUUCCGAAAAAGCUUUCAUGGAAAUUGACACUAAGGGUAUGGGAGCUGCCUGCACCAGCAAGACCUUUCCGAAGCAGAUCGUGGUCCUCAGCUAUGCUACUCGGCACAUUAUCUUCCUGGCGCUUUAAGUUAAUUGCAAACCAUUUCGGAAUGGACUUUCCCUGAAGGUCAUCACCCAUCCUGUGGGUCCAGGUCACGGAGGAGAAGCAGCUGGUUAAUGGACUGCUCUUCAGCAGUCCAUAGAACAAUUUCAGCUGUCCAAGAACGCCAGAGAACCUGGAGAAAAUUCUGGUGAUAGCUCUCUGAAGUCAAAGGUUGUCUACCGGUAUGUUGUUCACCUCAUAGCUCUGUGGAUCACCAGGAGGCCCUUAUUACCCAGACUAUGAUAGAGACCCACUCUCUCAGCUUUGAGUUAGAAGAUGUUGGCAUGGCUAAGAUAUUGCUCAAUGAGGAAAUACAGCAGGAGCAAGUCAAUAGCAAGCCUUCUGUCCCAGAGUUUUUAGGAGACAUUAAAACCGAAACACAGCAGUGGACAGGAAGUUGCCCAGGACAAACCCAAGAAGAUGAGGCAGAUUUGCUACUUCUUCAGAAGGCUUUUUUGUACAAGCACUCAAAGAAGGGGCUUCUGAAGCCUUACGGUCUCUCUAAGACUUACAAAAGGAUUCAAACAGCUUAAUAUUGUAUUUUUUUUCCCAUGAUUUUGAAACAUUU
ensembl:lncRNA